GAUGAACGCUGGCGGCGUGCCUAAUACAUGCAAGUCGAACGAAACUUCUUUAUUACCGCGUGCUUGCACUCACCGAUAAAGAGUUGAGUGGCGAACGGGUGAGUAACACGUGGGCAACCUGCCCAAAAGAGGGGGAUAACACUUGGAAACAGGUGCUAAUACCGCAUAACCAUAGUUACCGCAUGGUAACUAUGUAAAAGGUGGCUAUACUACCGCUUUUGGAUGGGCCCGCGGCGCAUUAGCUAGUUGGUAGGGUAAAGGCUUACCAAGGCAAUGAUGCGUAGCCGAAUUGAGAGGUUGAUCGGCCACAUUGGGACUGAGACACGGCCCAAACUCCUACGGGAGGCAGCAGUAGGGAAUCUUCCACAAUGGGCGAAAGCCUGAUGGAGCAACGCCGCGUGGGUGAAGAAGGUCUUCGGAUCGUAAAACCCUGUUGUUAGAGAAGAAAGUGCGUGAGAGUAACUGUUCACGUUUCGACGGUAUCUAACCAGAAAGCCACGGCUAACUACGUG
rnacentral:rRNA from 1 species